AUUGAACGCUGGCGGCAGGCCUAACACAUGCAAGUCGAACGGUAACAGGAAGCAGCUUGCUGCUUCGCUGACGAGCGGCGGACGGGUGAGUAAUGUCUGGGAAACUGCCUGAUGGAGGGGGAUAACUACUGGAAACGGUAGCUAAUACCGCAUAACGUCGCAAGACCAAAGAGGGGGACCUUAGGGCCUCUUGCCAUCGGAUGUGCCCAGAUGGGAUUAGCUAGUAGGUGGGGUAACGGCUCACCUAGGCGACGAUCCCUAGCUGGUCUGAGAGGAUGACCAGCCACACUGGAACUGAGACACGGUCCAGACUCCUACGGGAGGCAGCAGUGGGGAAUAUUGCACAAAGGGCGCAAGCCUGAUGCAGCCAUGCCGCGUGUAUGAAGAAGGCCUUCGGGUUGUAAAGUACUUUCAGCGGGGAGGAAGGGAGUAAAGUUAAUACCUUUGCUCAUUGACGUUACCCGCAGAAGAAGCACCGGCUAACUCCGUG
rnacentral:rRNA from 1 species